UCUCAAAAAACGGGGAUCUUU
rnacentral:piRNA from 1 species